ensembl:lncRNA
CUCAAGGGAACAGUCACCCUGGUGUGGGAGUGCAGGCCGGCAGGAAGAUCUCUCUCCCUCGGAGCUGGGGAUGUUAAUGGCUGCUGAGGCAGGCCACAGGCAGAGUGAAGCUUGUCCAGACCCAGUACAGAGUCCUAGAGGCAAUACGAUCACAGAAGAAUCGCAAUGCCUUGAUUACUACGUUGGCCAUGUCAGGGGCUCCCUGCAAUGAUAACUUCUUUAUGUUCUACCUUGAAGUCCAACCCAGCUCCUCACCUCAGGAACUUGGCCAGAUAUUGGACAGUUAUGGAAACAUUUUCAGACCCCAUCAGACCCGGUGGCCUCCAAAGGCCACUAAAGAUUAUCAAGAUCCUUUUGCACCUGCACAGGAAGUUUUG